rnacentral:rRNA from 1 species
GACAGAGGAUGCAAGCGUUAUCCGGAAUGAUUGGGCGUAAGCGUCUGUAGGUGGCUUUUUAAGUCCGCCGUCAAAUCCCAGGCUCAACCCUGGACAGGCGGUGGAAACUACCAAGCUGGAGUACGGUAGGGCAGAGGGAAUUUCCGGUGGAGCGGUGAAAUGCGUAGAGAUCGGAAAGAACACCAACGGCGAAAGCACUCUGCUGAGCCGACACUGACACUGAGAGACGAAAGCUAGGGAGCGAAUGGG